ACAAUGGCUAUCUUAAUAAAAGACACUUUUUUCAAAAAAUAUUUAUAAAAAGUAUGACCACAGAAAACAAAAAAUAUAAUCUUCAUAGGAAAUCAUAAAAACUAAAUAGACGAUUUAAAAGUUCGUACUUUUUGUAUCAUGGCUCGUGAAGAAAGAAAAACUAUUUUUAAACCCGAAAACUUUAGAGCUAACUAUCUUAAUUUUUCGAUUCAGAAAAACAAAAAGAAUUUUAUUAUUUCAAAAAUAAAAAUAAAAGAUUGUUAGAAGUGAAAUGUUAAACAAAAAAGUUGAUAGCUGGUUGAAGGAGAAAUAUAUGUAAGUAUAGGUUAAUUUAAUCUUUAUUGAAAAUGCUAUUCAGUAGAAGAAAGUUAAACUCAGUCUUUUGGGGAUAAACUCAAAAGAAUUGUUUAUUUAGAGAUGUGUGUUAUGGUAGGGGUGAAAGUACCAAUCCGUUACAAUUUGUUUCAAUGUCACAAAAAAAACAUUUUAUUUAGUAUCCUUCUUUUUCAAAAAACGUUUCUGAUUUAUUUAGCACUGAACACGAUUAGUAAGCUAACUAUCCAUCAUUGGAUUAGUAAAAUAAAAAGCAACUUUCAACACAAGAUAAGCUGUUAAAAAAAUAUAUAUAUACACAUAUACACACAUAUAUAAGUUAGUUAAAAAAUUCAAACCCAAUAGGUUCAGAUUUUUAGUAAAGUAAAAUUUAUAGGCCAAUUAAUUUUUCAUGACCUAAGCAGGUAAUUAAAACUAUCAAGUAGUUUAAUAAGGUAAAAAAUAAAUUAUAAUAAAGGAACUCGGCAAAUUUUAUCUCCGCCUGUUUAUUAAAAACAUCGUCCUUAGAAAAAGAAUAAGGAUCGCGCCUGCCCGGUGAUGAGAGUUAAACGGCCGCAGUUAAUAGCUGUGCUAAGGUAGCGCAAUCAAUUGUCCUUUAAUAAGGGAAUGGUAUGAAUGGCUGUACGCGAGAUAAGCUGUCUCUAUUAUAUUAGCAAGAAAUUUUCCUUUAAGUGAAAAGACUUAGAUUUUUUUAAAAGACGAGAAGACCCUAUCGAACUUAAUCAUUUUUAAAAGAACUCAUUUAAAAAGAAUUUUUACUGGGGCAGUAAGAAGAAAAAAAUAACUCUUCCUUAUAAAAAAAGAUCCCUCAAUGAGGAGAAAAAGAAAAAGUUACCGUAGGGAUAACAGCGUUAUCGUUUUUAAGAGAUCUAAUCGAAGAAACGGUUUGCGACCUCGAUGUUGGAUUUAAAUUUCUUCCUGAGCGCAGGAGCUAGGAAAGUAGGUCUGUCCGCCCUUUGAAAUUUGACAUGAUCUGAGUUUAGACCGGCGUGAGCUAGGUCAGUUUCUAUCUUUAUAAUAAAUAUUCCUUGUACGAAAGGACCCGAAUACUUGGUGCCACUAACCUUAA
rnacentral:rRNA from 1 species